rnacentral:rRNA from 1 species
UACGGAGGGUGCGAGCGUUGUCCGGAAUCAUUGGGCGUAAAGGGUGCGUAGGUGGCCCGGUCAGUCUUUGGUGAAAGCGCGGGGCUCAACCCUGCGUCGGCCAGGGAUACUGCCGCGGCUCGAGCACUGUAGAGGCAGGCGGAAUUCCGGGUGUAGCGGUGGAAUGCGUAGAGAUCCGGAAGAACACCGGAGGCGAAGGCGGCUUGCUGGGCUUGGUCUGACGCUGAGGCGCGAAAGCGUGGGGAGCGAACAGG